rnacentral:rRNA from 1 species
GAGUUUGAUCCUGGCUCAGAAUCAACGCUGGCGGCGCGCUUAACACAUGCAAGUCGAACGAGAAAAUUCCCUUCGGGGAGUGAGUAAAGUGGCGAACGGGUGAGUAACACGUGGGUUACCUGCCCUCGAGUGGGGAAUAACUCUGGGAAACCGGGGCUAACACCGCAUACGAUCCUUCGGGAUGAAAGUCUUCGACGCUCGAGGAGGGGCCCGCGGCCCGUUAGCUUGUUGUGGGGUAACGGCUCACCAAGGCAAAGAUCGGUAGCCGCCCUGAGAGGGCGCACGUCACACUGGCACUGAACACGGCCAGACUCCUACGGAGGCAGCAGUGAGGAAUCUUGGACAAUGGGGGAAACCCUGAUCCAGCGACGCCGCGUGAGUGAUGAAGCCUUUCGGGGUGUAAAGCUCUUUCAGCGGGGACAAUCAUGAUGGUACCGCACAAGCAGCUGCGGCUAACUACGUGCCAGCAGCCGCGGUAAUACGUAGGCAGCAAGCGUUGUUCGGAAUUACUGGGCGUAAAGCGAGUGUAGGCGGUCUGCCAAGUCUGUUGUGAAAUCUCCCGGCUCAACUGGGAGGGUGCGUCGGAAACUGGCAGGCUCGAGUGCGAGAGAGGAGAGUGGAAUUCCUGGUGUAGCGGUGGAAUGCGUAGAUAUCAGGAGGAACACCGGUGGUGAAGACGGCUCUCUGGAUCGCCACUGACGCUGAGACUCGAAAGCGUGGGGAGCAAACAGGAUUAGAUACCCUGGUAGUC